UACGUAGGGGGGCAAGCGUUGUCCGGAUUUAUUGGGCGUAAAGAGCGUGUAGGCGGUUUGGUAGGUCCGCUGUGAAAACUCGAGGCUCAACCUCGAGACGCCGGUGGAAACCAUCAGGCUAGAGUCCGGAAGAGGCGAGUGGAAUUCCUGGUGUAGCGGUGGAAUGCGCAGAUAUCAGGAGGAACACCAAUAGCGAAGGCAGCUCGCUGGGACGGUACCGACGCUGAGGUGCGAAAGCGUGGGGAGCAAACAGG
rnacentral:rRNA from 1 species